GGCAAGAUGGCCGAGCGGUCUAAGGCGCCAGCUUCAGGUUCCACAUCCAGCCCUCGGGUGGAAGCGGCUCCCAAUCUGCUGGUCUAGUAAUAGGCGUGGGUUCGAAUCCCACUCUUGUCA